rnacentral:tRNA from 1 species
CGGUCCGUAGCUCAGCUGGUAGAGCACGNNGGUCGAGGGUUCGAUCCCCUCCGGACCGACAA